rnacentral:lncRNA from 1 species
AAAAAAACGAAAAAAAAAACAACUAAUCAAAGCAAGGCACGUAAGAAAUUUGACAACGUUCGCCCUGGGCUACUGGUCUUUUAUUGGUUCUUGACUUUGUGUGCCGGUUCGUGCAUUAAACUAAUGUCUAAUGGCGUCAAUGAAGUUCACAUCACUUUUUCUAGUUUUCUGUUGGGCGUUCAGAUUUUCACUCGAGGUUUUCGAAUAUUGUAAACGGGAUAGACGUACUAGUUGGAGUUGUUGUCUUGGAGCAGUCCAUCAUUGGCGAACUCGGUUAAAAGAUGCCGUCUUUCCUUCACUAUGAUCUCCAGAAUAUGAGAUUAAGGAAAGUCCCUGUUGACCGACUUGUGAAGGCUAAAUCACUAGGGACAGAAUCACCUGCAGAAGAAGAUGAGCCAUCGAAUUUACUUCUGCCCUGAUCGUCACCUGCGGCCAUGGGUAAGGUUAUACACACUUUACUGUAAUGUUUCCACUUUCUUGUGAUCGUUACCGUUUGACACUGCACUUCUCCGUUUGAUUUCCCAUCCCCCUUGUGUCAUUUUGUGAUGUUGAAUUUUCGCAUUGGUUUUCUGUUGGUGAUGUUUAGAAUGGCGCAACGUCUUGCGUGUUUUCAAAAGCCUACAUCCAUUCCGCGCGCGUUGAAUUGUUGCGAUAAAAGGUCAUCUGUUGAUGACAUCUCCAUUGUUUUUCGCUCAAAGGAAAUUACUGCUGUAAAUUGCCGACAACUCUUUAAGAUAGCCAUAAUCCCAAAAUUGUAUUCCCAAGUUUCCAAAGUCCUUAUAAUCCCCUCCAGGCUGCGAUUAUUCUAUUUUUCGCCAGACGGUUUUUCUGUUUGUAUCGUGUUAUCACCGUCCAGGAAAGUCUCAUCAUGAAAAGAAUGCACAAAAUUUUCACAGUUCAUCGAAAAGCUGAAAAUUGUGGGCGUAUGUUAGGAAUAUAUUUGGCAACAUUUGUUAACAACCAAGUUUUUCUUCUAUUAGCUUACACUGAGAAUUCUCUCCAGACUGUCGUACACAAGGCGAAAACUUUUUCUAAAAUUGUCAUUUUUAUCUUUUGUCUGUUUGUUGUUAAAACAAAGUAAAUCGAA